rnacentral:pre_miRNA from 1 species
GGUGCGACCGGGCGAAUGUCUUCAACGGCCGUCCAAAGUAUUAAAUUUUUGGAAACUGACUGGUCGGUGGGACUUUCGUCCGUUUGAACC